AUGCUGAUGCAAUUCCACUCGAUCCCCACCGCCUCCCUCGCCCACUCCCCACCUCCCACCUCCCAGGACGACCUUCAAGCCCAUCGCCUCCUUCCGCCGCCCCUCCCCGCCUCCGCCUGCGCCCCCCAAAGCCUUCUCCUCCACCCCCGCCGCCUCCUCCCACGAACCCCCUCGCCUCCAAGCUCUGGCUGUCGAGCAAGCUCUCCCCACCGCCGCCUCCGCCGCCGUCGCGCCAGGCGAUACAGGAGCCUCCGCCACCGCCGGAACCGGAGCAGGAGGCGGCGCCGCUGCGGCAGGAGGACUUCCGGCACAAGGGCAAGGUCUUCGUAGGGAACCUCCCGCUGUGGGCGCGUAAGCCGGAGAUCGCCGAGUUCUUCCGCCAGUUCGGGCCCCUGGAGAAGGUGGAGCUCGUGCGCGGCCACGACGACCCCGAGCGCAACGUCGGCUUCUGCUUCCUCUACUACGGGGGCGACGACCCGGAGGCCGCGGCGGAGCGGGCGGUGGAGGUGGACGGGGUGGAAUUCCGGGGAAAAUCUCUCACCGUGCGACUCGACGACGGCAGGAAAGGGAGGGCCAGAGCGGAGGACCGGGCGCGCUGGGUCGAAGCCGGGGAGCGGCGGGAGGCUCGCUUGCCGUGGCACAAGGGCAGGGAGGAGGCGUGCCGCGAGUUCCGGAGGGUGCUGGAGUCGCGGCCCGAAAACUGGCAGGCUGUCGUCUCUGCUUUCGAGCGGAUACCCAAGCCAUCAAGGAGAGAAUUUGGUCUGAUGGUUGUGUAUUAUGCCAAGCGAGGUGAUAAGCAUCAUGCUCGUGCAACAUUUGAGAACAUGAGAGCAAGAGGAAUAGAACCCAAUGCAUUUGUCUUCACAAGCCUUGUUCACGCUUAUGCAGUUGCUAGAGAUAUGUGUGGUGCACUUUCAUGCAUUGAGGAAAUGAAAUCUGAGGGCCUUGAACUGACAGUUGUUACUUAUAGUAUCCUUAUCGCAGGAUAUGCCAAAAUCAAUGAUGCUCAAUCUGCAGACAACUUGUUCAAAGAAGCUAAGACCAAGCUCGACACUCUGAAUGGAAUCAUAUAUAGCAACAUUAUACAUGCUCACUGCCAAUCUGGGAAUAUGGAUCGAGCUGAAGAGCUGGUCCGUGAAAUGGAAGCGGAUGGAAUUGAUGCUCCUAUUGAUGUUUAUCACAGUAUGAUGCAUGGAUAUACUAUCGUUCAGGAUGAAAAGAAAUGUCUAAUUGUGUUCGAAAGGCUGAAGGAGUGUGGCUUCAAACCAUCAAUAAUAUCUUAUGGUUGUCUUAUUAACCUGUAUGUCAAGAUUGGGAAGGUUUCCAAAGCCUUAACUAUUAGCAAAGAAAUGGAAUCAUGUGGUGUCAAACAUAACAACAAAACUUACUCUAUGCUGAUCAAUGGAUUUAUCCAUUUGCAUGACUUUGCAAAUGCUUUUAGCAUAUUUGAGGACAUGCUAAAAUCAGGUUUGCAGCCUGAUCGUGCCAUAUACAAUUUGCUGAUAGAGGCAUUUUGUAAGAUGGGAAAUAUGGAUCGUGCUAUUCGCAUAUUUGAAAAAAUGCAGAAGGAACGAAUGCAAGCAUCAAAUAGAACAUUCAGGCCUAUCAUAGAAGGUUUUGCAGUUGCUGGAGAUAUGAAAAGGGCUCUGGAUACCCUUGAUCUGAUGCGGCGAAGUGGCUGUGCUCCUACUGUAAUGACUUACAAUGCUCUUAUCCAUGGGCUAAUUAGAAAGCACCAGGUUGAAAGAGCUGUUUCUGUGCUUGACAAGAUGUCUAUUGUUGGCAUUGCACCAAAUGAGCACACAUAUACUAUCAUUAUGAGAGGUUAUGCUGCUGUUGGAGAUAUUGGAAAGGCUUUCGAGUAUUUCACCAAAAUCAAAGAGAAUGGUUUAAAGCUUGAUGUGUACAUUUAUGAAACAUUGCUCAGAGCCUGUUGCAAAUCAGGAAGGAUGCAAAGCGCCUUAGCAGUCACACGAGAGAUGAGCUUUCAAAAGAUACCAAGGAAUACAUUCAUAUAUAAUAUUUUGAUUGAUGGUUGGGCUCGGAGAGGAGAUGUCUGGGAGGCAGCAGAUUUGAUGAAACAAAUGAAAGAGGAUGGAGUUCCUCCUAACAUCCAUACAUAUACAUCCUACAUAAAUGCUUGCUGCAAAGCAGGAGACAUGCAGAGAGCAGAAAAUGUGAUUCAAGAAAUGGCAGAUGUUGGAUUGAAACCCAAUGUCAAGACAUAUACCACCUUGAUUAAAGGUUGGGCUAGGGUGUCACUACCAGAUAGAGCCUUGAAAUGCUUCGAGGAGAUGAAAAUGGCUGGGCUUAGGCCUGAUGAGGCUGCUUAUCAUUGCUUGGUGACCUCACUUCUCUCGAGGGCAACUGUGAUGGAGGGAAGCACCUACACAGGAAUCUUGAGUGUCUGUAGGGAAAUGUAUGAGAAUGAUUUGACUGUUGACCUGCGAACAGCUGUUCACUGGUCAAAAUGGCUUCACAAGAUCGAGAGGACGGGAGGGGCACUAACAGAAGCACUUCAGAGAAUAUUUCCGCCUGAUUGGAAUUCAUCAGAAAAUUUGGAGGCUUCAAAUUCUGUAAGUGAUGGAGAUUCUGAGUCUUGCAGUGAUUCAGACUUUAGUGACAAUGAUGAAGAUCAUGAUAUUGGUGACCACUGACAUAAUAUUGAGACAGUGCUAACCUUUUUGCAAUCCUUCAUUACUGCUUCAGGGCCAGAGUUAAGCCAUCAAGGCUAUUUGCUUGUGGACUGCCAAAGAGGAGGGUUUUGAAUCUUAUCGUGUUUUAAGCCUCAGCUGUCUGGCCUCUGCGGCAUUUCCUCAAGAGUUGCAGACGCUCAGUAACUGUUCUGCUGGGGCUGAAGGCACAGGCUGUCAAUGCAACAGAUGAAGGUCACUCAGUUAUGUGUGUUGCUGUACAGAUCAAUGACUCGUAGUACAGGAGCUUAGAUUCGUGGCUUCUGCUUUAAUGCAGCCUGUGUGGCGAUUGAAUGGGAGGAAUUCCCUCUUGAAACUGAAGUACAACUCCAAUCAAGUGAUACAUGAUGACUGUUUUCUCAUUUAAGGUUUGGCAUCUUCCAGUACAGCAGCUUCAAUCAAAUGAGCCUUAACGUAGCACAGACCGGUUCAGUGUGAGCUUGGAAUUGCUCGCCCCUGUCCAAGCUGAGAACUUUUACUAGCCGGGUCACUUGAAUGCCUGCCUGCACAAGACGGCAUUAUAUUUCUUGAGACUGGUGUGUGUGUUUGUGCGCUUGUGUGUGAUAUGAGCUGCGAAUCUUAGCUGGCCGGUAUCUUUCAUUGAAUCGAAAGUGGCCUCCCACAUUCAAGUCUUGCCACAAGAUAAAACAGUGCUUCAUUUAUGCCCGCUAUUUAUGCUUGCUUACUGCAUUGCCCUUCUGAA